rnacentral:rRNA from 2 species
GACGAACGCUGGCGGUGUGCUUAACACAUGCAAGUCGAACGGUAAGGCCCUUUCGGGGGUACACGAGUGGCGAACGGGUGAGUAACACGUGAGUAACCUGCCCUCAUCUCUGGGAUAACAGUCGGAAACGGUUGCUAAUACUGGAUAUGAGCUUGCAAGGCAUCUUGUGGGUUGGAAAGAUAUUUUUUUGGUUGGGGAUGGACUCGCGGCCUAUCAGCUUGUUGGUGAGGUAGUGGCUCACCAAGGCUUCGACGGGUAGCCGGCCUGAGAGGGCGACCGGCCACAUUGGGACUGAGAUACGGCCCAAACUCCUACGGGAGGCAGCAGUGGGGAAUAUUGCACAAUGGACGGAAGUCUGAUGCAGCAACGCCGCGUGCGGGAUGACGGGCUUCGGGUUGUAAACCGCUUUCAAUUGUGACGAAGCUUUUUUGUGACGUAGCAGUAGAAG